rnacentral:rRNA from 1 species
UACGGGGGGGGCAAGCGUUGUUCGGAAUUACUGGGCGUAAAGGGCUCGUAGGCGGCCAACUAAGUCAGACGUGAAAUCCCUCGGCUUAACCGGGGAACUGCGUCUGAUACUGGAUGGCUCGAGUUUGGGAGAGGGAUGCGGAAUUCCAGGUGUAGCGGUGAAAUGCGUAGAUAUCUGGAGGAACACCGGUGGCGAAGGCGGCAUCCUGGACCGAUACUGACGCUGAGGAGCGAAAGCCAGGGGAGCAAACGGG